GAUGAACGCUGGCGGCGUGCUUAACACAUGCAAGUCGAACGGAAAGGCUCCUGCUUGCAGGGGUACUCGAGUGGCGAACGGGUGAGUAACACGUGGGUGAUCUGCCCUGCACUUCGGGAUAAGCUUGGGAAACUGGGUCUAAUACCGGAUAGGACCGCAUUUUGGAUGGUGUGGUGGAAAGUUUUUUCGGUGUGGGAUGAGCUCGCGGCCUAUCAGCUUGUUGGUGGGGUAAUGGCCUACCAAGGCGUCGACGGGUAGCCGGCCUGAGAGGGUGUACGGCCACAUUGGGACUGAGAUACGGCCCAGACCCCUACGGGAGGCAGCAGUGGGGAAUAUUGCACAAUGGGCGCAAGCCUGAUGCAGCGACGCCGCGUGGGGGAUGACGGCCUUCGGGUUGUAAACUCCUUUCGCUAGGGACGAAGAGUAAUUGACGGUACCUGGAGAAGAAGCACCGGCUAACUACGUG
rnacentral:rRNA from 1 species